GGCAUGCCUAAUACAUGCAAGUCGAACGAAUGAAGGAGUGCUUGCACUCCGGAUUUAGUGGCGAACGGGUGAGUAACACGUAGGCAACCUGCCCAAGAGACGGGGACAACAGUUGGAAACGACUGCUAAUACCGGAUAGGAUAUUUCUUUGCAUGAAGAAAUAUUUAAAGAUGCGUAUGCAUCACUCUUGGAUGGGCCUGCGUCGCAUUAGCUAGUUGGUAAGGUAAUGGCUUACCAAAGCGACGAUGCGUAGCCGAGCUGAGAGGCUGAUCGGCCACACUGGAACUGAGACACGGUCCAGACUCCUACGGGAGGCAGCAGUAGGGAAUAUUCCACAAUGGGCGAAAGCCUGAUGGAGCAAUGCCGCGUGUGUGAUGAAGGCCUUCGGGUUGUAAAGCACUGUUGUAAGGGAAGAAUUACCAGAGUAGGAAAUGGCUCUGGGGUGACGGUACCUUACCAGAAAGCCACGGCUAACUACGUG
rnacentral:rRNA from 1 species